UACGUAGGGUGCAAGCGUUGUCCGGAAUUAUUGGGCGUAAAGAGCGUGUAGGCGGCCAGACAAGUCUGCUGUGAAAACUCGAGGCUCAACCUCGAGCUGUCGGUGGAAACUGUCUGGCUAGAGUCCGGAAGAGGAGAGUGGAAUUCCUGGUGUAGCGGUGAAAUGCGCAGAUAUCAGGAAGAACACCUAUGGCGAAGGCAGCUCUCUGGGACGGUACUGACGCUGAGACGCGAAAGCGUGGGGAGCGAACAGG
rnacentral:rRNA from 1 species